GGUAUCAUAGCUCGAGAUUUCUUUGAGGAAGAAAUCCUCAAGAGAUAUGGUGGACCCUAUGUCAGAGAGGUGUUUCUGGGACCACAUCGUUUCUUUCAAGGAAUGAGGGCCUCGUCGGGUGUCUGAAGUUAAAUCCUUCCUGUCUGACUCAUUGAAGAAAAAGUAUUCCUCCAGUACGGGACUCCAUCCAGGUCUCAUGUUCUACAAUUCCAUCCACAACCAAGUUGUUCCGCCUUGAUUGUCCCUCCAUUGACUUUGUUAUCAAGGAUUCACACACAGAACUGAUGUCCUCUCUCAAUGACUCACAGAUUGCUGUCAUCCUGCGUUCUCCUUUUUCAACGCAUCAAGCUGACCCUGGGAGAACUGUAAACUGUUCUUCAGGUCCUGGACCAGUCUGGUCCUGGAACUCGCACCCCUUUUUCCACAUUUUGUUGUGUUACAGCCUGAAUUUAAAAUGUAUUAAAUUGUUGCGGAAAGACUGAUACGUGUUUGAUAGUGUCUUGGUGCUGUAUUGUUUGUCCUGUUUGUUUGUUAAUGUU